rnacentral:sRNA from 1 species
AAUCAAAUAAGGGCUUAAAAUGAUUACUAUAUACUGAUUACUUUUAUACUAUAAUUUUGAUCUUUAACAAAAUAAGCGAGGACUUAUUCAUUAAAUUAGUCGGGUUAUGCAGCUUUAACAAGACGGCACACCCACCCAAUUGACACGCCUUUUGGAGCCCACUGUCCGGGUCAUAAGGCACAAAUGUAGCUGAUCCAAUGUCAACAACGGGACCCUCAUGCCCACUCAUCAGGCUGGACCAUUUACUUAAGUCUAUUUCCUCUCUUUUGCUUAAGCCAUAAGCGUCGGGCAAACAUCAUCUUUUAGGAUGUGUUUGAUUGGAGGUGAAAUUCCAUGAAAAAUGGAAUUGGAGGUCCACCUUUCAAUUCAACAUUGUUUAAUACCCUUUUUUUUCCUCAGAAAUGAAAUUCCAUCGUUGGUGAAUUUAAGGAAUUGCAAUUCUCACCUAGCAUUUUUUUUCGAUUUUUUUGUUCAAAUUUUUAUUUUUUUAUUUUUAUUUUUUGCAAUGGAAACAAAUUCUAAGAAUUGUUUUAAAAAAAUUUUCCCUUUAAUUGACAAUUUUAAUGUAAAACAAGGCUAAACGAACACCAAAAGAUAGAUUUUUUUUUUGACAAUGGGAACAAAUUUCAUUCCUAAUACCAGUAAAUUUUAUCCCUUUAAUUGACAAUUUUCAUAUAAAAGAAAGUCAAACGAACAUCAAAAAAUAUUUUUAUUUCAACAUUUAUCAUG